AGAUGUGCCUUGGAAGCUGGGGUUCAGAAUACAUGGUAGCUGUGUACUGCAGUUCACCACAGAAGCUCUCUAGUUUGUUUAAUUAAAAAUUUUAUUCCUUUCUCAUUCAUUGGUUUGUUGUUUAAUGAUCAUUACACCAAGGUGAUGCUGGGGGA